rnacentral:lncRNA from 1 species
ACUUGAAGAAAUGGCAAGGAAGCAGUAAUGGCUGAGCUACGAUGGUGGUUCGCCAAGGGUGAUGGGUCCUGGUGGCCGGAGCUGGGGCUGUCCGUCGGAGCUCCGGUGAGGCUCAGGUGGCAACCGAACCUGCAACAAAAUAGGGGAAGGCAGCAGGUGGCUUCACGAGUUGCUGGCGUGGCAGCUACCGGCGUGAGAAGACGAGCGUCGAUCUGGGGGCGUCGUAUGGCGAGGCGGAGGGCGAUCUGUAGAGGUGGGUCGUGUACGGAUCCGGACCGGCUGUCGUCAAGUGCCGCGGCGUAGAGCGCAGCGAGAAUAGGGAGAUCGGCGACUGGAGCUGGACACGAGCACUGCAGGCAUUCGUGCUCGCGGGUCGCCGGAGGCAAGGCACAGGCGUUGGGUUCGGUGGUGCUCAGCGACGGCAAGGGGGGAGCAGCAACGACGGCGUCAACGGGCUUCAGUGAGCUGCUGGUGUUGCGAUCUGCAGCAGCAAGGAGUGUCGCUGUGCGGGGGGUGCAAUGGCGUCGGCAGCAAACUCACGGCUGCUGGUGCUCGGACGGAGAAGGGGCGGCUGCUGGCGUCAGUGGCAGAGGAAGUCGUCGGGGCUGAGGCGCCGAGUGCAGCGACGGGCGAGCAGAGAGCGACGCGCGGCGCGGGGGGUGUAGUGCGGAGGUGCGGUGGGGAGGCUAUUGUGAGUUGCGACAGCAACGGUUUUCGGAGCUCCGGCGACCGCGAAACAGUAGCUGCGGUGACGGAGUUGCAGGUGUCGCUUGAAGCUUCGAGUUGCAAGGUGCGGGCGAGCAGAGGCGGCGCUUGGGCUUCAAACGGCGUUGAUCGCACGAUGGUGGUGUGGUGGCGGACGAGCAGCAACACCGUGUAGAGCAGAAGCGAAAUGGGGAAGAAGGUGAACAGUAGGGGUCUUGUCAACUUUUUCCUUUAUUUUUUUUCUCUCUCCCUCACGUCACUUCUCUCUGCUCUCUUUCUGUACACUUUUUCUGACUUUUCCUUCAGCAGAUUUUCCUCAAAGGCACGAACGAAAAAGCUAUGAAAAACCUUUCAUUCUUUUUUCUUCUUCCGAACCCCGAGGAGCCCCCGCACUUUUUUUCUUUCUCUUUCAGUUUUCUAUUUUUCUUCGACGAACAAUCAAGAGAAGCCCCCCCUUCGCUCGGUUCUGAAGCCUCGCAUUUUAUAGCGAAAGUGCUCAAAGUUGUUGAAGAUUUGCAAAUA